GCUUCAGAAAACUCAGUACUUAUUCUCGAAUAGAAGUUCUAAAUAAGCUAGUUCUAGAAUGAUAAAACUUAAACAAAGAGUAGGCAUCAUAUAUAACAAUGAGAGACUUCAGACAGUCCAGAAAAUACAGAGCAAGUCUAGGUUGGUGGUUAUUACUUCUGGUAGUACAACAGUUCUGGAAGUCCAGCCAUAUGUGGUGAAGCAUGGACAGACUGCAGUGGCCAAUGAGCUAUAUAAAUCAUCAUCAUCGGGUGGCUUCUAGAAAAGACCCGAGAGAGAACACUCUGAACUUGAGCUUGGACGUUUUAUUAUGCUAAGGAUGGCAGAGCAAAAAGACAAAAGGAGCCAUUUUUGAAGAUGUCAUGGGGCUCUCACACCAACCCCAGCCUGCUUAUCAUCAAACUUCUCUUACGUAACAGAACAGAUGUUUUAACAUACUAUAGCAAUCUCUCUACUUAGCAUUUCCAAAGAGAUACAUAUACCAAUACAGAUUAUGAAUCUCAAAAGAGGCAGAUCUAGAAUGCCCCCUUUGGAAGCAAGAUCAAUGAUGAGCAUUUUGUUAGCAUAUGUGUAGUUCCCAAAAAGUAGUUUGGGGAAUGCUGGUCUAAUUUAAGUGACAGAUACUGCUUGGAUGUUUUCUUUCAGGGGGGAAAAUUUAUCAGCCAGAAACUGUCAGUUUCCUUCAUGCUAUAGAGAGAGUCUAUUUAAAGUAUUACAAUCCAUUGACAGAUCAAUAUCAGCAAUUUAAGUUUAGUAGCAACAGAAUAGGAACACAGUACUUGGAGAGACCUGUAGGCAUGCCUAACUUGAGAGUCAACUUGGUUUCUGAAAUGCAGAGGGAUCAGGUGAGUUACUGAAAUAUGCAGAGGCUAUCUUAGUGAAGUUAUCUGAUGGGCUGCGUAUGCCACAGGCCAUACAACCAGCAUGAAAGCAAUCAUCAUUUGUACAAUGUAGCAAUUCUCUUUUUACCUUAUUCUGAAAAGCAAUCCAAUCCCCAGAGCACUGUAUUUUAGCUGCAGAAUCUGGACUAUAUUUUUCUAACGAAGAGACAUUAUAUUUUUCACAGAUGAAGGGCAACUUGGUACUACAAUCUGCAGGUUUAUUUAAGUCUGAGAAAUGAAAAGCAGGAUUACUGUAGUGAGAAUUUUCUGUUCAGCAAAUUUUAAAAACAAUCCAGUAGUAAAGAAAAUCUCUUCAAAUCAAUCUUUCCCAAACAGUUAAAUUAUAUUCCUUUUCUCCUCUAGCCAUUUCUAUCUUCUAUAAUUAUCAGUAGGUUAUAGUACACCAGUGUUGCCGAUAAAAAUGCACCCAUUUGGUAUAAUGACCACUGUUACCACAGUUCCUGAUGGCGAGAAAAUAGGUUGAAAGCGAAGGCUAAUGAAGGGGAAAGAGACCUAAACUAUAUUUAGAAUUGCUACCUGUUUAUCUUGGCAAAUUUGUUUAUAAGCUUAUCAAUUAUGAAAUUGGUAAGUUUAUUUCUAAGUAACUGCUUUAGGAUAAAGUCAAAAUAUUCACAGUGAAAAGCACCUUUAUCUGCAUUUGGAAUUUGAGCCAUAGUCAUUAGCAAUAAGCCAAAACAAGAUGAAGCAACCAAACAUAUAAUCAAAAGGAAAACAAGGUUAAGCUAGUAAUUGAACCUGAAGUUCACAUAUUACAUAAUUAACAUUAAAGGAUUUGGAAUUAAUUUACCGCUAAACCAAGUCUUGGCAGACAUGUACAAGCAUUCCUCCCGAAAUGUUAUAGGAAAGUGAUGCCAUAGAUAUCGUGAGCUGAAAGAAAAGGAGAGAUUUCACAGCUCAUAACGUAGUUACAUGUUCCAUUCUGUUUUUUACUGUAAUUUUACUUCUAAAUUUAAUGUUAUGCCAUUAUUUUAUACCACUUUUUUCUUAAUGUUAAUAUGCAAAAAGACUUGGUUUCUCUAGUCUACACAGUUCACAGAUUAAUGUUCAAAACAAAUUGCAGAUAGCAAUCCCUUUUCUAAAGGGAAUUUGGGCCUUCUUAAAAUGACUUUACAAAGGCAGCAUCAAUUGUGUCACAUACUUAAGAAAGUGACGAUCUAUGGGCUGUUCGGCAGUUCUCACCCACCACUUCUGUUCAUCACCAGAUAUCUGAAAAACAAACCAACCAACCAAAUCACCCAUCCUUACAUGUGUUGACUUUUUUAAGAGAGUUUUGAUUUACAUACCCUAUCUUACCAUAACCACAA